ensembl:lncRNA
CGUGCGCUGAGCGGGGCGGGGACGGCUGAGGUGCGGCCGGCGGAGGCGCGGCCGGGACCGGAUCGGGCGCCCAUUCGCGCGCUUCUCAGGCUGCGCCGGGCGCUUCCGCCAGGAGGCGACGCAGCGUGAGGCCAGCGGCGGCCGCCAGAGGCGGGGACCCCAGGCGGGCUCCCCAGGACGACCUUACCUGGGCCUGACCGCCACCCCACCGCGAGGGCGGGGAGUCCGGAAUCUCGGGCCUGAGCAAGUGAAAGUCCCAGUAGAUGGCUCCGGGUCGAAUCUUCACUCCUAAGUACCUGCACCUCCUUUCUGAAUCCUCGUUCUCCGUUUUGCCUUCUUCCUUCCCAAUCCUAAAUCUGGACCGAUCAGAGGAGAUAAUCUUGGAAGGAAAGUCGUUUCUUCAUAAAUAGCACCUUUCUGCGCGUCUGGGGCGAGUCACUAGAGUCAGAUUAUUCAUGGCUUGCAACUAUUCUUCUGCUUUGUUUGAGGAACUCUAGGAAUCUGUCCCAAAAGUUCCAGGACUUGCUAAGUGGCCAUCCGGGAGCCCACGAGUGGCACCAGCUUCCUUGCCCUGGAAAUCACAGAUCUGUUUUU